ACGGAGCCUAACAGUUAACUCCCUACCCAGUGAGUUCUAGAGAGAGAAUCUGACCCGAAAAGAGAGAGAGAGAGAGAGAGAGAGAGAGAAGAGUGAGAAGCAAGUGCAGUGUGUCCGGCGAUCUGUCCCCUCUCCAUUCAUCUUUCAUCCAAUAACAGGUAGUUGUGAGAAAUGGAUUACCAUUAUGUGUACAAAGAUGUGGAAGGAGCGUCGACGCAGUGGGAUGACAUCCAGAGAAAACUGGGAAACCUCCCUCCCAAACCUCCUCCGUUCAAGCCUCCUCCUUUUACCCCAUCCGAAGGCCAAGACUCCAAACCCAAAGACAAAUCGUGGAUCGAUGACAAGACCGAGGAUCAGCUCGAAGAUCUCGAAGACGACACCAAUCUCGACGAUGAUCGCUUCCUCGAAGAGUACCGGAAGAAGAGGUUGGCAGAGAUGAGAGAAGUAGCUAAGGUUCGGAGGUAUGGAUCAGUGAUUCCCAUUUCUGGAUCCGAUUUUGUACGCGAGGUUUCUCAAGCUCCAGAAGAUGUUUGGGUCGUGGUGAUUUUGUACAAAGAUGGAUACCCAGAAUGUGGGCUUCUUCUGCAAUGUUUGGAAGACCUGGCAACAAAAUAUCCAGGAACAAAAUUUGUGAAGAUCAUAUCUACUGACUGCAUACCUAACUAUCCCGAUCGAAAUCUUCCCACUCUUUUGGUCUACAAUAAUGGUGCUGUCAAGGGGAAUUAUGCAGGAUUGCAUAGUUUUGGUCGCAGGUGUACUCCAGAAGGUGUUGCCUUGGUUCUCUGCCAAUCCAAUCCUGUUCUCGUCGAGAGGCAAAGUGGAGGCGAGCAAUCAAGAAAAGCAGUCCUUGAUGGCGUUCGGCAGAGGCUUAUAGAGAAAGUUGUUAGAGACCAUGAAGAUGAUGAUGCUGGAUCUUCAAGUGAUUAGGGUCUGCAAGUCCAUUAAGACCUACAAAAUGAACAAUUCAAAAUGUCGUACAAGAUGCUGUGACCUUUCUGUCUUGGGCUGCAGAACCCGAAAUGGAAGAAAGGAAACUGAUGGGAUUCAAGUGGAUUUUCGUACUGUCACUGGCAUUGCUUCAAGCUGGUUAUUACAGGCUCAUGAAGUGGUCUGUUCUCAAGUCUCGUAAGCUGGUGCUUGAUGUCGUCAACUAAAUCACCUUUAGUUCCUCUUAAUACAGUGUUGUGGUAGGACUAGAAUUGGCAAUAAUUAUUUGUCAAUCGAACUAUUGUUUCUUUGUCGCGAUUAGUUGUUUCGACGCGUUUGUGGUGCUGGUGCUGUGGGUGACCUGAGAGUGAAAUAUACAAUCUGGAGGAGAAAUAGAGAGACUUGUACAAACUAUUUGUAUUUCUGUAUGUACAUGAAUGCGAAAUUUUCUGGAUGGUUUCCAGUCUUUUGGA